rnacentral:misc_RNA from 1 species
CGACCGCCUCAUACCCUCCGUUUUCUCUACCGGCCGCGACAGGGACGAGACGCGUCGAUGAGACGCCGAUCUAUUGAGAGCGCGCAUAUGACGAAACCAAAUGCGUAUCUACAUCGAUAUAUGCAUACAUAUAUAGUAUUUAGUGUUUUCCAACGUGUCCACCCCACCACGAACAAGUCAGCACCAAUACACGCAUACGUAACCGCAGCCCACCCACCGCUGUGUCGCACGGCGGCAAUGACAGGGAGCGGGGUCCACCGACGCCCUUCGGCGUCGCCCAGCCCACUGCCAUUCUACUGCGCAUACACAGCAGCCGAGGCCCAGAACUACGCACGACAUCACCGCAGCGCAGUAACAGCAGGAGAAGAGAUGGUGGAUGCGUGUACGUGCUGAAUACGCGGGCAGGACUCGUAGUGGGCUGGUCCAGGCGUGAGCAUGGCUAUACGUCUCUUCGGCACAGCGCCAGCCAAGCCCUGUCCACCGGCGCCAGAGAGCCCGCAGCCGCACCAGAGGGCAGGCUGCAGGCUGCUCGGCAUUAUCACAACGAGUGAGUAUUGGAUCAUGACGCCAGCGUGUGGUGACCGGCAUUGUCAGGGCACGUGAGAGAGACGAAAAAAAAACGUUUUUGUUUUUUUGGUGGCCAAUCGGGAGCUCGACUG